AUUGAACGCUGGCGGCAUGCUUUACACAUGCAAGUCGAACGGCAGCACGGGUGCUUGCACCUGGUGGCGAGUGGCGAACGGGUGUGUAAUGUAUCGGAACGUAUCCGGAAGUGGGGGAUAGCUCGGCGAAAGCCGGAUUAAUACCGCAUAUGCCCUGAGGGGGAAAGUGGGGGACCGUAAGGCCUCACGCUUUCGGAGCGGCCGAUAUCAGAUUAGCUAGUUGGUGGGGUAAAGGCCUACCAAGGCGACGAUCUGUAGCUGGUCUGAGAGGACGACCAGCCACACUGGGACUGAGACACGGCCCAGACUCCUACGGGAGGCAGCAGUGGGGAAUUUUGGACAAUGGGGGCAACCCUGAUCCAGCCAUGCCGCGUGAGUGAAGAAGGCCUUCGGGUUGUAAAGCUCUUUCGGACAGAAAGAAAUCGCCACUUCUAAUAAAGGUGGUGGAAGACGGUACUGUAAGAAGAAGCACCGGCUAACUACGUGCCAGCAGCCGCGGU
rnacentral:rRNA from 1 species